rnacentral:rRNA from 1 species
AUUGCAGAACACAUUGAACAUCGACAUCUUGAACGCAUAUGGCGGCCUCGGGUCCAUCCCGAGGCCACGCCCGUCUGAGGGUCGGCGAGU